rnacentral:rRNA from 1 species
UACGGAGGGUGCAAGCGUUGUCCGGAUUUAUUGGGUUUAAAGGGUGCGUAGGCGGUCUUUUAAGUCAGCGGUGAAAUCCUCCAGCUUAACUGGAGAACUGCCAUUGAUACUGGAAGACUUGAGUACAGACGAGGUAGGCGGAAUUGACAGUGUAGCGGUGAAAUGCAUAGAUAUUCGGAAGAACACCAGUGGCGAAGGCGACUUACUGGACACAUAUUGACGCUGAGGUGCGAAAGCGUGGGGAGCAAACAGG